UACAGAGGUCUCAAGCGUUGUUCGGAUUCAUUGGGCGUAAAGGGUGCGUAGGCGGCGCGGUAAGUCGGGUGUGAAAGUCUCGGAGCUUAACUCCGAAACUGCAUUCGAUACUGCCGUGCUUGAGGACUGGAGAGGAGACUGGAAUUUACGGUGUAGCGGUGAAAUGCGUAGAUAUCGUAAGGAAGACCAGUAGCGAAGGCGGGUCUCUGGACAGUUCCUGACGCUGAGGCACGAAGGCCAGGGGAGCAAACGGG
rnacentral:rRNA from 1 species